AAGUCGUAACAAGGUUUCCGUAGGUGAACCUGCGGAAGGAUCAUUACCGAGUCUUGAAAGGGGUUGAUGCUGGCCUUCCGAGGCAUGUGCUCGCCCUGCUCAUCCACUUUAACACCUGUGCACACUCGAGACGUGGCCCUCCGUCAUGGGAGAUGGUUCCCCCUUUGCCUUCACCGGGAAAGGGGUUGAGCUUGGGGCCUCGCUCUCCUUUUAUACAAACCACUGUUGUCAUGUCUGGUAGAAUGUAAACCGCCUUUAACGGGCAUCUAAUACAACUUUCAACAACGGAUCUCUUGGCUCUC
rnacentral:misc_RNA from 1 species